UGCGCGUGCGUUACUAGUGUCCCUAAUGGAUCCCUUCCAUAUGAAAAGUAAAGCAGUUAGCUGUCAAGCUCGGCAAAUCAAAGGCAUGUCACACGUGAAACUUAGUGAAAUACACAAAAGCGUGUCUAGCAUUACAUUUUAAAUAAAGUAAUAUUUAAAUAAUAUCAGAUAUGAGAGACUAGGUGUAAACUUGAAAGGGGUUCUUCUGCCUUUAUGCUCGGGAGGGUGGGAAAACACAGCGACGCAAAGGAGCAAACAUGGAAGUAAAGCAACAAUGAGAGACGCACGUUGUCAGACAGGUGGAACGCGUUCCCUUCCCUCCUCCUCCCCAAGACUCCUCGCAAAUGGUGUAAAAUAGAAGAAAGACGCAUAACCCGGUUCACGUCUGUUUGUUUUCUACUGAGCAAAGUGACAAGAUCAUAAAAAAAUAAAAGGAUCCUCCUUUGCUUUCUGCCCCAGUAACAUCUCUUAUUUUGAAAUGCACUUUCUGAGUGCCGAGAACCUGUGUGGCAGUACCUGAACCUGCAUGGACUAACCACAGUGAAGUAUUCAUGAGCACACACCGAGAAUAACGGAGCACAAAGUCACCUUCAUCCAGCGGCUCUGGAACUGUGGGCUGUGAUGAUGAGAAGGAGCCCUCUGAAUCUAAAGAUCACAGAACCUGAGGAACGUUUUAAUGGCUGCUGAAAUGAGCAUCUCUUCAGGCAACAGCGCAACUUUUCUCCCACUCAGAAAGUUUCCUGAAGCAUUACGCGCAGCCCACCCAGUACGGCUUCGCUGUUGCCUACUCUGCUUUGCUUCGUGCGGGGUCCUCCCACCUCUGCCUACAUCCCAACAUCCCAAUGAGACAGUAGAAGCCAAAAACAUGGCCGACCAUGACGACGCACCAUUUCUACAGGGGUUCCACUGUAAAGUUUCUGCUGCGGCGACCUUUUGACUUGAGCACAGUGAGUUUUUAAUAAACUGUAACUCAUCUUUGCCAUAAAUUAGUGGUGGCUUCUGAAGACAACGUAGGUGUAAACAACAAGAUUCUAAUAAUGAUGAAAAUAGUAGAACAUACUGCCCACAGGAGAGAGGCUUUCUCAUUCUUCCCACUCAGCAUGUGUGUGUUUACUUGUUUCCCCUUCUUGGCAAUUACACAAAACAUUCUCAGCGAGCAAACAUCUACAAAUGUGUGCAUUUUAUUAGCUUAUUUUUGUUUCUUCAAAUUUUGGAGCAGGCCAACUAAAACACUAACACGUACUGUAUUUGUAGGAUUACGAUUUAGUUGCUUUUACUUUUUAAAAAUGUAGCAUGUUCAAACAACUUAACUCAAAUGGCUUUAAACAACACAAAUUUGCUUUUGAAUUAGUUAUUUGUCAUUGUCCGUGUAAAAAAAACAGCAUUAAAGCUUUUAUGCUUAUCAUAAUUCACAAAACAGUCUCUGUUUGUGAAGUUUGUGCCAUCAAACAGUAGAUGUAGAAAGUCCUGAACAGGCAAAUAUUCAGUGGAGGAAAGAACAUUUUUUAGAAGCAUAUUCGUUCUCAUAUCGCCUGUUUCCUUCGAAAUAGCAGUGAAAAUAUAAUUUUAGUUCCUCUUUGCUGUUGGCAAUGUGAGCCUGUUGAACUAGUAAAGGAUUUAAUGGCAGCUGUACAGUGCCGCUACUCAAAAGAGCCCAUCUGUGUGGCAUAUUCAUCGCACACAUAUUAGUCUUAUAUCAGUUACAUCCAGCUUUGCUUUUGUUUGUUCUUUGUGGCUCUUGAAUGAAUAAAAACCUUGAUUCCUUAUCUUGACCUAUCAGGCUAAAUAGCUUUUAGAACAGUAUUAAAUUAAUUAACGUCUUCACAGAUGUCUCAGAUAGUACAGUCUAGAUAUCUGACAGAUCCAUAAUAGCAACAUAAGCCUUGAUGGAGGUUUAUUCCUCCAUCUUCCUGCUUUUUGGCUGAUUAAUGUUUUACACAUGCCUCAACCUUCUAUCUUGAGUGAUCCUGCCCUUACUUCCUGUUUUGGGAUUCCAGCUUCCUGUUUUCAUCACAGAUUAUCGUCUCACUGCAUUUCUUCUCUCUGAUUGGUUCCCUCUCGUUAUUUGCACCUGUGGCUUUGCUACCUGUUACAUUUGAACUGCACUGCUUCUGCAUUGCCUCCCAGCUGUUUGCUCUUGAUGGCUUGAAAUCCCAAACUGUCCAAAGAGGAAACCAGGCACACAGUCCAUUUACAUAACUCUUUGAUCGAUUGAGAGUCUACAGACCUUCUGUAUAGGUGCGGCGUUGCUCUUUCCCUGGUCCUGAACAGCGCCGCGGGUUCGGGUUCUGGUACGUGUCCACUGCAUUACCUUCAGCGGUCCCGCCGGAGGAUGUGGAACCGGCGUGAGCUGUGCAGAGCCGCAUCAAAACCUCGGCUUCUGCUGAGUGUCGCUGGUCAUCACGAACAACAAGGCAAACGCUGGGUUCAAAGAGUUGAGAAACAAAGCGGAACAGAAGGAACGAGAAUACACAAAACCAAAGUAACAUACGACAAAAAACCCAGACGACGUGUGAGUGGAGCAGGACUAACGAGCCUUUCUAGCUCUGGAAGGGCCGGCUCGCCCCGAGACCCCCCGGCGCCGCCGCGGCCACCUGCCUGUCAUGAACGGGCCCUUUGUGAUUGACGCGGCCACCUCAUCUGGCUUCCCCUCACGCCCCGCGCACGCCGUGGCCAAAGGAACCGGCGAGCCCGUCUGCGAUGAGAGCCGAUCAUAACGCCGGGCUUUAAGGCGCUCCCGGGGAGCGCUCCUCGAGUUUCGGCAGGAGCUGGAAAUGGCCUCAAUUAAAUUUGUUCCCCGCGGCGAAUCUCGACCCCCGGCGUCGCAGACUCACGGCUCUCCUUUAAAACACGCGACAUACACGAGUGCGGUCUAGUUGUUCUUCACCUUCUUUCUCACCUCUUUCUCUCUCAGUUGCAUGACUCAUGAUACAUACGCUUUCCAAAACCACUAAAUCAAUCGAACCAGUUGACAUCAAAUAAUGAUGGUGAUUAUAUAUUUACCAUGAGACAGUGGUUUUCCUCAAACCUGAUAUUGUGCAUUUGAUCUUAGCGGCUGUGCAUUUAACCUGGAUGGACUCGGUGAUACAUUACUGUGGUCCUUGUACUGUAUUCAGUAUUUCUGUGGCAGGCCGGUGCCGCUGCCUUGUUGUGUUGCUUUAUUUUUGGACGGAAAGCAAAGGCUUUAAGUGCAGCUGCAGGCUAGCCUGUUGGCAGCUGUAUGCUAAUGGCUCGCCUUGUUUGUGUCUUUGAAAUCAAAGCAAGUCUUAUUCUGGUCAGUGCUGGCCUCCAGGCUGUCAGUUUCAGGAAUGCAGAGGGAAAAAAAAUGAACACAUGAAGCUAAUCUAAUUAUUGGCAUUGGCAAAAUGGAGAGGUUUGAUAAUAGGACAGAGAAAACGAUGGGCCAGAUUCUGCAAAGAUGCUAAAAGCUAAAAGAUGCCUUAUAUAUAUUUUAAACUUUUUUUUGGAUCAAAAAGUCAAAAGUACUUUGUGUGACUUUUAUAUGGUUGAAAAGAGAACUGGAGAAAACCUCAAACACAAAAAUGAAGGUAAAACUGCACGACUGCUGCAGAUGAAGUGAUAAUCACUGCACUUUCCUCUAAUCACUUCAGGUCUGUCACUGUUUCGCUGCACCUCGCUCCUGCUACCUUCUGAUUUCGUCCUGAUUCUAACCUUUCAUUCUCGCCCCACGUUUUCAUUUGAAUCCCUUUUUCCAGCCCCUCUUUAUUUUUCUCCCUCUGCCUUUUGUGCCUCUCUCUCUCUCUCUCUCUCUCCCCCUCUGCCUCCUUUCGAGCGCAGCCUGUGUGAUAUGGAAAUGCGCAGACAGCUGCUCGCGAUCCCGGAGUUUCGCCUGCAGCCGUCGGCGUAAUUAACAGCGCCGCGAUCUGUGACUCAUCGCAAACUAGGUGAGAGCGGCGCUGUCAGCCAAUGGGCGCCCUCUAUCCGGUGGUCCUCUGUCUGACGUUGCUCAGUCAUUUACUGAUUCACCUCUCCACCUUUUGGGGGUCGCGUGCAUUGUUUCCUCUCCUUCCUCUCCCGUCCUCUCUCCAUCCUGAGAUCCUCCAUCCUUUUUGCUCCUCACCUUCCUUCUACUCUACAUUUCCGCCCUGCAGUAACUUCUCCGCUCUCCCCCGUGCCUACUCGUCUCUUAAAUGGGGAUAUCAAUUAACAUGGGGGAACUGGGAACCCAGGCCCUUAGAGAAUUAAAGCAUGGCGUCUCCGCAGCCACUGCUCAUCUGCUCCUUCUUUUCUUCCUCUCUCCUUCUCUUUGUUCGCUUGCGUCCUUGGAGAGGAAAUGAUUCAUUUUCUCCGAAAGCGCUCCCUGUGUUUUAGCAGUAAGGUUUAUGUUUUAUUUUUGCCUUUUUGGCAGCGGGCUGGCAGGCGGCAUUGUGUUUUAUACAACAUGGCAGAUGUAGAGGUUUGACUGAGGUAAUGGCUGAAAGAGCAUCACACGCGUUCAGGGGCAGCACCAGCUCUGGCGCUGAAGUGACAUGUGACCGUGAGCAUGCGAUGCAGGAGUCGGGAUGCGCUGUUCAUGAACACUGGUGCAUUCACACUGGUGCAUUCACACUGGUGCAUUCACACUGGUGCAUUCACACUGGUGCAUUCACACUGAUCUGCCACUAUUGCAUAAAUAAACCAAAUGGGAGACUGAACGGACGAAAACAACUUGUUCAUUUAGGGCGGAGGACUUGUUGAAUGGCUGACUUCCACAAAGUAGUUAGCGCACUGGGUAAAGGCACUCAGCGCCCUCCUGAUGUGGAAUUAGUUUGAAAAUGUGGAACAGGAUAAUGUGAAACACACUAACAGAAGAAAUCAGAAGGGGUUCAAAUACUUUUUAACGGCCCUGUGUUUCAGCAGGGGUUCGCAAGCGCAGCCUUUCAGACUCCUUUGCC